UACGUAGGGAGCGAGCGUUGUCCGGAAUUACUGGGUGUAAAGGGUGCGUAGGCGGCAAGAAAAGACAGAUGUGAAAUUCCGGGGCUUAACUCCGGAGCUGCAUUUGAAACUUUUUUGCUUGAGUGAGGUAGAGGCAAGCGGAAUUCCCUGUGUAGCGGUGAAAUGCGUAGAGAUAGGGAGGAACACCAGUGGCGAAGGCGGCUUGCUGGGCUUCAACUGACGCUGAGGCACGAAAGCGUGGGUAGCAAAC
rnacentral:rRNA from 1 species